rnacentral:lncRNA from 1 species
ACAGUGAGUCCCAUCAUCUCUCCACCAUGCACCUUGUGGACCCCCUCCUCUGCUGACAAUAGACAACUACCUCUAACUGAAACUUUCCACUGCCUACCCAAGCCCUAUAAAGCUGCUCCUCUCCUAUCUCCCUUUGCUGACUCUCUUUUCGGACUCAGCCCACUUGCACCCAAGUGAAUUAACAGCCUUGUUGCUCACACAAAGCCUGUUUAGGUGGUCUUCUAUAUGGACAUGCGUGACACUUGGUGCCGAAACCUGGUACAGGGGGACUCCUUCGGGAGCCUGGCCCCCUGUCCUGGCCCUCACUCCGUGAGGAGAUCCACCUACGACCUCGGGUCCUCAGACCAGCCCAAGGAACAUCUCACCAAUUUCAAAUCGGAUCUCCUCGGCUUAGUGGCUGAAGACUGAUGCUGCCCGAUCGCCUCAGAAACCCCCUGGACCAUCACAGAUGUCGAGCUUCAGGUAACUCUUACUGUGAAAGAUUCCCAGCCAUAUGAAGACACCCUAGCUGGACGAUCAGUCCUUGUCAAAAGUCUGACCCCUCAAACUCAACGGCCUCAAUGGACCAGACCCUACCCGGUCAUCUAUAGCACACCAACUGCCGUCCAUCUGCAGGACCCUCUCCGUUGGGUUCACCGUUCCAGAAUAAAGCCGUGCCCAUCAGACAGCCAGCUUGAUCUCUCCUCUUCCUCCUGGAAGCCACAAGAUUAGGCCGAGAGCCGAUCAGACAAACAACCUACAACCCUUAAGCUCCUGGCAGUGCCCAGUCAAGGCUAUGCUUCCAUGCAACACUCCUUCCAAACGGCCAUCCCAGCAUGCUUCCAAGCAGGCUUCAUCCGUUCCUCUGAACCCUAAUCUCUUAGCACCUGCAACCUAUAAAAAGGAUUAUAUCUAGAGACCCUAUCCUCUAAAAUUUUUUCCGCACCCAAAACAAAAAAUCUCUGGGUCAAAAGUCUACAACGCUUAGGCUGGCAAUCACCAGAUCCUUGCCCAUGGUGUCCUCAAGUCUACUCUUACAGAAAUGGACAACACAGGCCUCUGAGCUGAAGCUUAGCCAUUGUAACCCCUGUGACCUGCACAUAUCCGUCCAGGUGGCCUGCAGGAGCCAAGAAGUCUGGAGCAGCCGAAAAACCACAAAGAAGUGAAACAGCCAGUUCCUGCCUUAACUAAUUAACCCACCUUACGACAUUCCACCAUUUUGACUUGUUCCUGCUCUGCCCCAACUGAUCAAUCAACCCUGUGACAUUCUUCUCCUGGACAAUGAGUCCCAUCAUCUCUCCACCAUGCACCUUUUGACCCCCUCCUCUGCUGAGGAUAACCACCUUUAACUGUAACUUUCCAUGCCUACCCAAGCCCUAUAAAGCUGCCCCUCUCCUGUCUCUCUUCACUGACUCUCUUUUCGGACUCAGCCCACUUGCACCCAAGUGAAUUAACAGCCUUGUUGCUCACACAAAGCCUGAUUAGGUGUCUUCUAUACGGACACGUGUGACAGGAACCUCAACCCAAAGGCAGUCUGAUGAGGUGUCUAAGAUAAAAGUAGCGGCACAAAGGCUUUUUUAAACAGAGGCGUUUCAUAUGGUUUUCCUUUCCUUUCCUUACAUGUGAAAAGGUGACAGAUAGAAAAGAAAUCUUCCUAAAAGGGUCA